UUGGAGGUUAAGAAGGUGAGGCCAGUUAAGACCAUGUGGCUCUCGCUGAUACCCACCUCCCACAGCAAAGCGGCUGAGAGAACAACUCCUGCCAUUAGAUGGGCUGUGGUUACAUCUCAGCCAACAUCU
rnacentral:snoRNA from 1 species